rnacentral:rRNA from 1 species
CCUACGGGUGGCAGCAGUGAGGAAUAUUGGUCAAUGGCCGGAAGGCUGAACCAGCCAUGCCGCGUGAAGGUCAGUGCCCUAUGGGCGUUAAACUUCUUUUGUGCGGGAGCAAUAAUGGUCACGUGUGGCCAGACGAGAGUACCGUACGAAUAAGCAUCGGCUAACUCCGUGCCAGCAGCCGCGGUAAUACGGGGGAUGCAAGCGUUAUCCGGAUUUAUUGGGUGUAAAGGGUGCGUAGAUGGCAUAGUAAGUCUUUUGUAAAAAUGCUGGGCUCAACCCAGUAGGGCAAAAGAUACUGCAAAGCUAGAGUAUGACAGAGGCAAGUGGAACUACAUGUGUAGCGGUAAAAUGCGUAAAUAUAUGUAAGAACACCAGUGGCGAAGGCGGCUUGCUGGGUCGAUACUGACAUUGAGGCACGAAAGCGUGGGGAGCAAACAGGAUUAGAUACCCGAGUAGUC